rnacentral:rRNA from 1 species
GACGAACGCUGGCGGCGCGCCUAACACAUGCAGGUCGAACGAGCGAGAGAGAGCUUGCUUUCUCGAGCGAGUGGCGAACGGGUGAGUAACGCGUGAGGAACCUGCCUCAAAGAGGGGGACAACAGUUGGAAACGACUGCUAAUACCGCAUAAGCCCACGGUGCCACAUGGCACAGAGGGAAAAGGAGCAAUCCGCUUUGAGAUGGCCUCGCGUCCGAUUAGCUAGUUGGUGAGGUAAUGGCCCACCAAGGCGACGAUCGGUAGCCGGACUGAGAGGUUGAACGGCCACAUUGGGACUGAGACACGGCCCAGACUCCUACGGGAGGCAGCAGUGGGGAAUAUUGCACAAUGGGGGAAACCCUGAUGCAGCGACGCCGCGUGGAGGAAGAAGGUCUUCGGAUUGUAAACUCCUGUUGUUGGGGAAGAUAAUGACGGUACCCAACAAGGAAGUGACGGCUAACUACGUA